rnacentral:rRNA from 1 species
AGAGUUUGAUCAUGGCUCAGGAUGAACGCUAGCGGCAGGCUUAACACAUGCAAGUCGAGGGGCAGCAGGGGUAGCAAUACUCGCUGGCGACCGGCAAACGGGUGCGGAACACGUACAGAAUCUACCUUUGUCUGGGGCAUAGCCCGGAGAAAUCCGGAUUAACUCCCCAUAAUAUGACAGGAGGGCAUCCCCCGGUCAUUAAAAAUUUAUUGGACAGAGAUGACUGUGCGUCCCAUUAGCUAGUUGGUAGGGUAACGGCCUACCAAGGCGACGAUGGGUAGCUGGUGUGAGAGCACGACCAGCCACACGGGCACUGAGACACGGGCCCGACUCCUACGGGAGGCAGC